CCUAAAUUAAUUAUUAUUUUUUCAGGACUAUGACAAAAGAAAUAUGCAAGCUUAAUAUAUGUUACUUGCCUCAUUUCUAGCACUGAUACCCUAUCUUUGCAACCACCUGCUCCCCUUCUUUUUUCAUUAGUAGGCAUGCUGACAUUAUCUGCCUUCUUGUGAUUCUCAUCCACGAUGCUUCUCUGUGAGAAGUACUGGAUGUUACUUGUCCGGCAAAAACCACAAUAUACCAAUCAAAUGCACUCUAUGAGAAGCAUUGACUGAAGUACAG